AUUACCAACAGCUCCCUCUAAACCAUGUCCCUCAACACAACAUCCAAUUGUUCCUUGAACAUCCCCAAGGUGUGACUCCACCACCUCCCUGGGCAGUCCAUUCCAGUGCCUCACCACCCUUUCUGAGAACUAAUAUUUUCUAAUAUUUGCUAAUAUGAAAAUAACUAGCAUAGUAUGAAAAUAUUUCUGGAUUAAGUCUAAGGCUGGUUGUCUUGCCAAUGAAGUGAAUGGUCCUGGAGGGAGAAACAUGGGCAGAACACAGAAUUCAUGAAACAAAUGUAGACUAGCUAUUAAAAGGGAACUGUUUUCCCAUGGUAAAAUAGCAGAAAAAUCAUAAAUAAAAUCCCAAUAAGAUAAUUCAGUCCUUCAGUAUCAAAACAAAGAGCCUAUAAUGACUGAACUGUAUGGGUUUUUUUUUUCUGCCUAUGUAUAUUUACAUACAAUCUUCCUGCUUUCAUUCUUGUAUUUAGUUAUUCCCCUAGUAGUAUUUUACUAACACUGUCUUCACUGAUAAUGAAAGUGCUGGGCUAAUACAAACAGUUUUUAAUCAUUUAUUCUUAUUUUAUAAUUCAAUGUCACUUUGAAGUUUUUCACAAGGACAAGAAAAAAAUUCUAGAAGUAAAAAAUAUCUGAUUCAGAAGACAGGCCCAUGAUGCUCUAAUUCUCUUCAGAGAUGUUGCAUUUUUACCUCAUUUGCAUAUCCCUCAUAAAUAUUCCUGGGAAAUAUUACUGAUUUACAUUCAGCUUUUUACUUAUGUGUAAAGGGUGCAGCCUUCAAAAAGGACAUGUUUUCUCCAGUAUAACAGUAUACAUUUGUUUAUUUCUGCAAAGUGUAUGUGCCACUGCAGUUAAAUUUGCAAGGCACGUUUUGAGGAUACACCACUCAGUUUCAAGUUAUGAUGAUGAUUUUCAUAUCCAUAUUUUUUUUCCCCUUCAAGCAAGAUGGAAAAUGUUCCAGCAAAAGCAUAAAAAAGCUAUUUUAAGAUCUUCAAAGAAAAAUUAAUAUGUUGCAGUAGUGAUAUUUCAUCUUAAUCUGGCAUCGCCCAGACUUGUCUCCUUUCAAGGAAGGGAGGACAUCUGGGAAUGAGUGAAAGCCACAAUAAAAUCAGAUCAUUUUACUGAAAUAUGAUGGCAUAGUUGUUUCUUGACAGUUAUAUAUUCAAUGAGUACGAAUGAGUGGUAUGAUAAAGGUGCAUGAUUUAUUGUUAUAUGCAAUUACGUGAGCUGCACAAUAUUGAAUUCUUACAGAGAACUAAACUGAUGAUUUAGGGGAAAAAAAAAUGAAAUAGAACAUAGCUAUACUUACAGAUAUUCAUAGACUAAGAGAAAAAGCAUGCCUCUAAAUAUCUCAAGAGAAUUGCAGUUCCACUGAAAAUUAAGAUUUCUUUGGUCUGCUUCACUUUCUUACGUCUAUUUCCUGAACUAAGCAAGGACAAGAAGGAUUGUUAGCUUAAUAUUCAAGUUACUUUCAGACAGCAUAGGAUAUGAGUUUGUGCUCAUUUCCAGUAACUUCUAUGUUUGUAUAAUAAUAAUAGUGUGGAACAAUCUUCCUGUAUAUAUGAAAGCUCAUGUGAAAUACAUUUAUAAUUCUGGACACUAACAUUCAGAAAUACAGAAUUAUAACUGAAAAGGAGAAGGGAAAGCUUAGUAAGAUGAACAGAUUAUAGAUAAGCCUGUCUUACCCAAUUAGUGAUGAAAGACCUUGUUGUUUUUUUCUGUUCAAGAAGAUUGAAAAAGGGAGGAUAAUUACUAUGUAUAUAUUCUUCUAUUAGAUAUUAGGAGGAGCUUAAGCCAUGCUGACAAAGAGCAAGCUAUGGAUUAAUUCUAUUGAGUAAUUCAGGCUAGAAAUAAAAUUUCUAGCUCAUUGAACUGAGGUGCUAGACAUCUCAGGAUGCCAUGCCUAUUAUUCCAAUACUUUAAAACUCUUACGUCUUCCAGAGUCAGAUUCCUGUCUUUCUUAAAGGACAACUGCUGGAAUGUAACACUUCCUUUUGAAAACAUACAGAUAAGAUCUGUUCUGUACACAGAAUAUUAGAAUAAAAGAAAGAGCAGCAGAUGAAUUAUUAUGCUAUUUCAUAUUGUAAAAGUACCAUCCCAAACAAUAAACGCCAAUGAAACACAUUUUAGGCUGAGUUUUCUUGAAUAUCUUAUUGGAAGGGUAUAUGCUAACUUUUUUUCCCUUAGGUCUCUUAAUUGGAAAUGUUGCAAAUUAUUUGGUAAAGGAUUUUAUACAAUUCUUAGUCUUAUUUCCAUGCAGCAAAAAGGGAAGUGGUGGAAAGAAAGGAGCCCUUGGCUUGAGUGACAGUCUCAUGAGACAGCAUCACGAAAGAAUCUAUCCAUCUCAACACUACCAAACUGCAAAUUCUCCGAAGUCCUUCAUAUAUGUCCAAAUACAGAGAGAUAACAAGUGGAUAUAUAAACAGGAGCACCAGUUUCAUGUUAGGAAUUAAGCACACAAGACUACAUCACUUUCCUGUGGGACACUCGUGAUAGAUCUCAAAGUUGACUCCACAUAACAUGUACUGUACAAUAGACAAUGGUGAAGAAGUGAAGAAGCCUAAUGGUAGCCACUUUUCACAGAAUACUGAUUAUAAUAUCUUCCAGGGGCAGCUGUUUCCAACAAGAAAGAAAAGUGUACUUUCUCAACUCUCAGCUCAUCAAGAACACUGGGAAAGGACUCCAGGUGGAAGGAAGUGUGUUCUAAUUUUGUAGUUCCCACUCCUUUGCUUUAGGUGAAGAAAUAAUUUCUUUGAAGUGAGAUUUGACUAUAUCAGUCAUCAUCAGAAGGAAAAUGAAUAAAUGUAACAUAAUUUUCUCUUACCUCCAAGUAAGCAGCUGGUCAGUAUUAGUACAACCAGAUCAAAAAAGCAACCAGCCAAUACUAAUGUUAUCAGAUAAACUGGUAAAGGACACAUUCUCGAUCUAUGAAGACAUCAAGAAUAUUAGGCUAUACAUUGCUAAAGAUAUGUAUUACUGAUGUGUUAAGCAUUGCCUACCUGUUCAUUUACAUCUGUAAAAGUCAUUAUCUUGCCUAUGUGAUAUGGGAUAUACUUUUCCAUUUUGCUUAACCCAUGACAUCCAAUUACCUAAUCAACACAAAAGUCAGCAGAGAACAGAGCAAAGAAAAGGGAGAUACCUUAGGUUUGCUGUCUUAUUUCACACUUUAUUUUCAUGAAACUUAGUAAAUUCAUAUUAUUGUUCAGUAUAGGAAUUGGUGAUAUUCCUCAGCAUUAUAUAACUACAAAACACAUGUCCAUUACAGUCAUUAGAUAUGGCCUUGUAGAAAUUUGUCAGAUAUGUAGUAUAUUAUACCUCAAAGUAGUAAUAACUUUUGUAGGAAUGUAUUGAAAAAAUGCCCUGCAUCAAUAUAAGUUCUAAAACCUCUCUCUAAUAAAUUAGAUUUCUGAUAGCAUCCAAAUACAUACUGUAAUCAUGGUAAAGGCAUUAAAAACUGGAUUUAUAAUGGGAAUGAGCACCUGUAUCUCGUCGUAAAGGCGGAGAGCCUCAGAUAUUCAACACCUCAAUAGCAUAUUGUGAUUUAGAUGAUGCAAAAUGCAACACAUGCCAAUAAACACAAGGCUGAUUUAAUUUUUUCUCUGUUCACUUUAUUGAUUUAUUUGGAAUGCUGCUGAGUUUACAGAGCUGCAUACUAAUUCCUGCCAGAAUCUGGCUUCACUGCUCACACUGAGCAUCAUUUUACUCUCAGGGUAGUCAGUGGGACACCACAAUGUGAAGUAGUGCAGCAGAAUAUGAGUCUUGUAGC